ACCAUUUUUAUUCGAAAUGAGACUCCUUCUAACCAAACGGUUGGAAUGAAAAUCAUCCAUUUCGAUUCUGAUUUUAAACUUCUAUUCUCCCCAAUCAAACAUCCUUUUAAUUUUCUCAUUUGAUUAGCAGCUAAUGGCAACCCACACACAUGGAAGAUACGAGUGCAUGAUUUGUUUAAUUAUUUGAAAGAAGAUUGCUGGUGGUUCCUCUUCCGGAAGCC
rnacentral:lncRNA from 1 species